rfam:Ophiostoma piceae TAMH 11346 chromosome Tnknown scf22, whole genome shotgun sequence.
ACGUACGGCCAUAGAUACUGGAAAGCACGGGAUCCCGUCCGCUCUCCCCUAGUUAAACCAGUAAUCGGCGGAUUAGUAGUUGGGUCGGUGACGACCAGCGAAUACCCUCUGCUGUACGUU